AAAUUGAAGAGUUUGAUCAUGGCUCAGAUUGAACGCUGGCGGCAGGCCUAACACAUGCAAGUCGAACGGUAGCACAGAGAGCUUGCUCUCGGGUGACGAGUGGCGGACGGGUGAGUAAUGUCUGGGAAACUGCCUGAUGGAGGGGGAUAACUACUGGAAACGGUGGCUAAUACCGCAUAACGUCGCAAGACCAAAGAGGGGGACCUUCGGGCCUCUUGCCAUCAGAUGUGCCCAGAUGGGAUUAGCUAGUUGGUGAGGUAACGGCUCACCAAGGCGACGAUCCCUAGCUGGUCUGAGAGGAUGACCAGCCACACUGGAACUGAGACACGGUCCAGACUCCUACGGGAGGCAGCAGUGGGGAAUAUUGCACAAUGGGCGCAAGCCUGAUGCAGCCAUGCCGCGUGUAUGAAGAAG
rnacentral:rRNA from 1 species